rnacentral:rRNA from 1 species
ACAGGGAUGCCCUAGUAACGGCGAGUGAAGCGGCAACAGCUCAAAUUUGAAAUCUGGGGGUCCGAGUUGUAAUUUGUAGAGGAUGCUUUUGGCGCGGUCCCUGGAACGGGACGCCUUAGAGGGUGAGAGCCCCGUAUGGUUGGACACCAAGCCUCUGUAUAGCUCCUUCGACGAGUCGAGUAGUUUGGGAAUGCUGCUCUAAAUGGGAGGUAAAUUUCUUCUAAAGCUAAAUAUUGGCCAGAGACCGAUAGCGCACAAGUAGAGUGAUCGAAAGAUGAAAAGCACUUUGAAAAGAGGGUUAAAUAGCACGUGAAAUUGUUGAAAGGGAAGCGUUUGCGACCAGACCUUUUCCUAGCGGAUCAGCCGGUGCACUUCGCUAGGUAGGCCAGCAUCGGUUCGUAGGGGGAUAAAAGAACGUAGCUCCUCCCCUCUGCAUAAUACCCUUACGGGGACCGAGGCCGCGCUUCGGUCGUCAACGACCCGUCUUGAAACACGGACCAAGGAGUCGAACAUUUGUGCGAGUGUUUGGGUGUAAACCCUCACGCGUAAUGAAAGUGAACGGAGGUGAGGUGCAUCAUCGACCGAUCCUGAUGUCUUCGGAUGGAUUUGAGUAAGAGCAUAACUGUUCGGACCCGAAAGAUGGUGAACUAUGCGUGGAUAGGGUGAAGCCAGAGGAAACUCUGGUGGAGGCUCGGUUCUGACGUGCAAAUCGAUCGUCAAAUCUGGGGCGAAAGACUUAUCG